UGUUGAGUUAUGUUAUAGUUUUAGGUUGAAGCAAUAUAUUAGGUUUAAGAAGUAAUGGUGUAAUACACUAUUACUGAGUUGGUGUGAUCAUAGAGAUAUUAAUUGUAGGGGUAGAAUCUGAGCAUAAUAUAGGUCCAGGAGUGUCAUGAAUUUGUGAAUUGCGAAAUUUUAACUAUGAGACCAGGAUUAGAUACCCUGUUAUUUGAAAUGUAAAAAUAUAUAGUGCCGGGGGCUUACGGUCAGUUGAUUAAAACCCAAAGAACUUGGCGGCUACUGAUCUAUCCAGAGGAACCUGUUUAUGAAUCGAUAAUCCACGUCAGACCUGACCUUUACUGGUUGUCAGUUUUUAUACCGUCGUCGUCAGGUAACCACUAAAUGGAGUAGAGUUAGCGGUUGGAGUUAGAUAAGUUAACUUGGACGUCAGAUCAUGGUGAAGCUUAUGUAUAAGGUGUAGAUGGGUUACAUUCUUAAAAUGUGUCGGAUGUUUAUAAUUGAUAUAUUGUAGUGAAGUAGGAUUUGGCAGUAAUUAUGUUUAUAUAGAAAGGUAUUGAAGUGCACUAGGUAGAGUACAUAU
rnacentral:rRNA from 1 species